rnacentral:rRNA from 1 species
UGGCGGACGGGUGAGUAACGCGUAGGGAUCUAUCCUUGGGUGGGGGACAACGGCUGGAAACGGCUGCUAAUACCGCAUGAUAACUGAGGUUUAAAGGCGCAAGUCGCCUGGGGAGGAGCCUGCGUACGAUUAGCUAGUUGGUGGGGUAAAGGCCUACCAAGGCUGUGAUCGUUAGCUGGUCUGAGAGGAUGAUCAGCCACACUGGAACUGAGACACGGUCCAG